rnacentral:piRNA from 1 species
GCCAAAUACCCUUGAUGGGCUUGAUUAAA